rnacentral:rRNA from 1 species
UUGAACGCUGGCGGCAUGCUUUACCCAUGCAAGUCGCACGGUAACAGGGUGCUUGAACCGCUGACGAGUGGCGAACGGGUGAGUAAUGCAUCGGAAUGUACCGUGUAAUGGGGGAUAGCUCGGCGAAAGCCGGAUUAAUACCGCAUACGCCCUGAGGGGGAAAGUGGGGGACCGAAAGGCCUCACGUUAUACGAGCAGCCGAUGUCUGAUUAGCUAGUUGGUGAGGUAAAGGCUCACCAAGGCGUCGAUCAGUAGCGGGUCUGAGAGGAUGAUCCGCCACACUGGGACUGAGACACGGCCCAGACUCCUACGGGAGGCAGCAGUGGGGAAUUUUGGGCAAUGGGCGCAAGCCUGAUCCAGCCAUGCCGCGUGUCUGAAGAAGGCCUUCGGGUUGUAAAGGACUUUUGUCCGGGAGCAAAUCCUAGUGGUUAAUAACCGCUGGGUCUGAGAGUACCGGAAGAAUAAGCACCGGCUAACUACGUG